rnacentral:rRNA from 1 species
ACCUUCGGGCCUCUUGCCAUCGGAUGUGCCCAGAUGGGAUUAGCUAGUAGGUGGGGUAACGGCUCACCUAGGCGACGAUCCCUAGCUGGUCUGAGAGGAUGACCAGCCACACUGGAACUGAGACACGGUCCAGACUCCUACGGGAGGCAGCAGUGGGGAAUAUUGCACAAUGGGCGCAAGCCUGAUGCAGCCAUGCCGCGUGUAUGAAGAAGGCCUUCGGGUUGUAAAGUACUUUCAGCGGGGAGGAAGGGAGUAAAGUUAAUACCUUUGCUCAUUGACGUUACCCGCAGAAGAAGCACCGGCUAACUCCGUGCCAGCAGCCGCGGUAAUACGGAGGGUGCAAGCGUUAAUCGGAAUUACUGGGCGUAAAGCGCACGCAGGCGGUUUGUUAAGUCAGAUGU